rnacentral:lncRNA from 1 species
GGGUGGGGCAAACGCGGAGCACGGAGGACGGGGCCGGGCGACCUGGGCACCAGCAGGACCCGAGGCCAGGAGCCAGGGGCCCAGAAGAUUGAGCUUCUAGAGCCUCAGAGAUGGAAUUCGCCGUUUUGCCGCGAUUUGGCGUUAACUUAUUGACCCAUGGGGAGGAGGGUCACUUCCCCUGAAAAGAAGGCAGAGAUGUUUUGCUGUGCCCAGUGUGAGGAAGCGAAGGAAAAGAAAGAUCUUUUGAAAAUAUGUACAUCUACUUGCAGCUUAAAAAUUCCAAGUGCCAGACAUUUUUCUUGGAGGAAAUAAAUGUCUUCAAUUUAUUCAUCUUACCUGUUGAUUAUGUUCC